GUGCUCACUUCAGCAGCACAUGUACUAAAAUUGGAAGGAUACAGAGAUUAGCAUGGCCCCUUGCAAGAAUGACAUGCAAAUUUAUGAAGCAUUCCAUAUUUAA
rnacentral:snRNA from 1 species